rnacentral:rRNA from 1 species
GAAUUUUCCGCAAUGGGCGAAAGCCUGACGGAGCAAUGCCGCGUGAAGGAUGGAGCCCCUCGGGGUGUAAACUUCUUUUCUUAGGGACGAGAAAAAGACGGUACCUAAGGAAUAAGCAUCGGCUAACUACGUGCCAGCAGCAGCGGUAAUACGUAGGAUGCAAGCGUUAUCCGGAUUUACUGGGCGUAGAGCGUGUGUAGGCGGUUUGGUAAGUUUGUCGUUAAAUCCUAGUGCUCAACGCUAGAACUGCGAUGAAUACUGCCAGGCUAGAGAGGGAGAGGGGAAAGUGGAAUUCCCGGUGUAGCGGUAAAAUGCAUUGAUAUCGGGAGGAACACCAGAAGCGAAGGCGACUUUCUGGCUCCUUUCUGACGCUGAGACACGAAAGCUAGGGUAGCGAAAGGGAUUAGAUACCCCUGUAGUC